rnacentral:rRNA from 1 species
UAGGGAAUCUUCCACAAUGGACGCAAGUCUGAUGGAGCAACGCCGCGUGAGUGAAGAAGGUUUUCGGACCGUAAAGCUCUGUUGUGGUGAAGAAGGAUAGAGGUAGUAACUGGCCUUUAUUUGACGGUAAUCAACCAGAAAGUCACGGCUAACUACGUGCCAGCAGCCGCGGUAAUACGUAGGUGGCAAGCGUUGUCCGGAUUUAUUGGGCGUAAAGCGAGCGCAGGCGGAAGAAUAAGUCUGAUGUGAAAGCCCUCGGCUUAACCGAGGAAUUGCAUCGGAAACUGUUUUU